CCCGACUUCCUCCACUUAACAUCAAUUGACAAUAAUCCAAAACAAAAACAAAAAAACCAACUCAACUUCCAAACUAAUUCCUUCUCUGUUCGUUUUCUCCGCUUCAAUAUAGUUUCAUGUAAUUAGUAAGCACCUCUUGACAAGAAAUCUUUAAUCAAAGCCAAUUCUACAGAGAAGGAAUCACAAUUUUAACUCUCACUGUUUGUGGAAAUGCCAGCAGAUAAGAGUCAAAUGUGUAUAAAGAGUUGUAGUUCACUGCCACAGGGGUGUAUUCUCUUCUGUUAUUAUCAAUGACCAAAUAAAGGUGGACGAAGUUAUGGAUGUUUCGACUUUCAACCGAUCAAUUGGACAUACCCGCCUUCGGAGGUAAAUCGGUGAUGGAGUUACAAAGAAGCAUGGAGGUUAUCAACUACAGGUCCAUUUUUUAAAUUUGUAAUUACUAUCUUUUAAUGAAUCUCUACUCUUUGGGUGGAACACUACAAUCUGUUAUGUUUAGUGGAAGAGAGUGAGGGUUUAUUCUUGCAACCUCACCUGGUACUGUUUCCCAUUCAGG